AAAACACUAGUAAAUUUGUCAUUACACUGCCUUGUCAAGGCAGAAUAGUGGGUUAAAUCCCCGCGUGUUUUG
rnacentral:tRNA from 1 species